AGCACAUUUCCUGUUGCGGAAAAGUAGUUGAAGUGAAUUUUUGUGUGAGUGUGGAACUUUUUGAAUAAAAAUUCUCAUUUUUGAAAAUAGUUUCUUUAAUACUUGUGAGCUGGUUGUUCUAGGAGAAUUAUCAACAACCUAAAGGUGUAGAUGCUUUUCAACUCAAUUUUCGUUCACCGAAUUCAACUUCAGCAGGCCAUAUCUCAAGCCACAUAGUCCACUUAAGCGUAAAAACCAAAGAGCAAAAAAAAA